CCUGGUUGAUCCUGCCAGUAGUCAUAUGCUUGUCUCAAAGAUUAAGCCAUGCAUGUCUAAGUUCAAGCGAAAAUAAGUGAAACCGCGAAUGGCUCAUUACAUCAGUUAUGGUUCCUUAGAUUGUACUAACUACUUGGAUAACUGUGGUAAUUCUAGAGCUAAUACAUGCGCUGGGCUCCGACCUGUGAAGGAAGGGGCGCUUUUAUUAGAUCAAAGCCAAUCGGGGUUUCGGCUCCGUAUUUCUGGUGACUCUGAAUAACAUUGCUGAUCGUACGGCCUUGUGCCGACGACGAGUCUUUCAAGUGUCUGCCUUAUCAACUGUCGAUGGUAGGUUAUGCGCCUACCAUGGUUGUAACGGGUAACGGGGAAUCAGAGUUCGAUUCCGGAGAGGGAGCCUGAGAAACGGCUACCACAUCCAAGGAAGGCAGCAGGCGCGCAAAUUACCCACCCCCGGCACGGGGAGGUAGUGACGAAAAAUAACGAUACGGAACUCAUACGAGGCUCCGUAAUCGGAAUGAGUACACUUUAAAUCCUUUAACGAGGAUCUAUUGGAGGGCAAGUCUGGUGCCAGCAGCCGCGGUAAUUCCAGCUCCAAUAGCGUAUAUUAAAGUUGUUGCGGUUAAAAAGCUCGUAGUUGGAUCUCGGUUUCACUCAGGUGGUACACCUUGCGGUGUUCACUAUCUGGGUGGACGUUUCUGUUGGUUCGCUCUUGGUGCUCUUCAUCGGGUGCCAUUUGGUGGCCAGCACGUUUACUUUGAAAAAAUUGGAGUGCUCAAAGCAGGCGUUACAGCCUGAACAUUAGUGCAUGGAAUAAUGGAAUAGGAUCUCGAUUCUAUUUCGUUGGCUUUCGGAGUCGAGGUAAUGAUUAAUAGGGACAGACGGGGGCAUUCGUACUGCGACGUUAGAGGUGAAAUUCUUGGAUCGUCGCAAGACGAACUACUGCGAAAGCAUUUGCCAAGAAUGUUUUCAUUAAUCAAGAACGAAAGUUAGAGGUUCGAAGGCGAUCAGAUACCGCCCUAGUUCUAACCAUAAACGAUGCCAACCGGCGAUCCGUCGUCGUUAAUUGAAUGACUCGACGGGCAGCCUCCGGGAAACCAGAGUGUUUGGGUUCCGGGGGAAGUAUGGUUGCAAAGCUGAAACUUAAAGGAAUUGACGGAAGGGCACCACCAGGAGUGGAGCCUGCGGCUUAAUUUGACCCAACACGGGAAAUCUCACCAGGCCCGGACACCGGAAGGAUUGACAGAUUGAGAGCUCUUUCUUGAUUCGGUGGGUGGUGGUGCAUGGCCGUUCUUAGUUGGUGGAGCGAUUUGUCUGGUUAAUUCCGAUAACGAACGAGACUCUGGCCUACUAACUAGAAGGUCUAUCCUUUAUGGGUAGGCCUCUGCUUCUUAGAGGGACGGGCGGAAAG
rnacentral:rRNA from 1 species